CCCGCGGCAAGACGGAAAGACCCCGUGAACCUUUACUAUAGCUUGACACUGAACAUUGAGCCUUGAUGUGUAGGAUAGGUGGGAGGCUUUGAAGUGUGGACGCCAGUCUGCAUGGAGCCGACCUUGAAAUACCACCCUUUAAUGUUUGAUGUUCUAACGUGGACCCGUAAUCCGGGUUGCGGACAGUGUCUGGUGGGUAGUUUGACUGGGGCGGUCUCCUCCUAAAGAGUAACGGAGGAGCACGAAGGUUGGCUAAUCCUGGUCGGACAUCAGGAGGUUAGUGCAAUGGCAUAAGCCAGCUUGACUGCGAGCGUGACGGCGCGAGCAGGUGCGAAAGCAGGUCAUAGUGAUCCGGUGGUUCUGAAUGGAAGGGCCAUCGCUCAACGGAUAAAAGGUACUCCGGGGAUAACAGGCUGAUACCGCCCAAGAGUUCAUAUCGACGGCGGUGUUUGGCACCUCGAUGUCGGCUCAUCACAUCCUGGGGCUGAAGUAGGUCCCAAGGGUAUGGCUGUUCGCCAUUUAAAGUGGUACGCGAGCUGGGUUUAGAACGUCGUGAGACAGUUCGGUCCCUAUCUGCCGUGGGCGCUGGAGAACUGAGGGGGGCUGCUCCUAGUACGAGAGGACCGGAGUGGACGCAUCACUGGUGUUCGGGUUGUCAUGCCAAUGGCACUGCCCGGUAGCUAAAUGCGGAAGAGAUAAGUGCUGAAAGCAUCUAAGCACGAAACUUGCCCCGA
rnacentral:rRNA from 4 species